AUUGAACGCUGGCGGCAGGCCUAACACAUGCAAGUCGAACGGUAACAGGAAGAAGCUUGCUUCUUUGCUGACGAGUGGCGGACGGGUGAGUAAUGUCUGGGAAACUGCCUGAUGGAGGGGGAUAACUACUGCAAACGGUAGCUAAUACCGCAUAACGUCGCAAGACCAAAGAGGGGGACCUUCGGGCCUCUUGCCAUCGGAUGUGCCCAGAUGGGAUUAGCUAGUAGGUGGGGUAACGGCUCACCUAGGCGACGAUCCCUAGCUGGUCUGAGAGGAUGACCAGCCACACUGGAACUGAGACACGGUCCAGACUCCUACGGGAGGCAGCAGUGGGGAAUAUUGCACAAUGGGCGCAAGCCUGAUGCAGCCAUGCCGCGUGUAUGAAGAAGGCCUUCGGGUUGUAAAGUACUUUCAGCGGGGAGGAAGGGAGUAAAGUUAAUACCUUUACUCAUUGACGUUACCCGCAGAAGAAGCACCGGCUAACUCCGUG
rnacentral:rRNA from 1 species